rnacentral:lncRNA from 1 species
CUGGUUGCCUGGAGAGACUUUGCAUCAAGCAAGGAGCGCUGUUACCUUCUGUGGACUCACUGAGAAACUCCUCAGAAGCAAGGUUGUCAAGGCAAGUGAGGAGAAGAGAAAACCUGGCCUUCUGGAGGGCCAGCAGCAAACAAGAGCUUCGUCUUUCCACUUAGGAAAAUGCACUGUGCACAUGGCUGGGGCCUUCAACACGCAUCUGUUUGACAAGCCUGG